rnacentral:rRNA from 1 species
CGGGUGAGUAACGCGUGGGCAACCUGCCUUAUACAGGGGGAUAACAGCUGGAAACAGUUGCUAAUACCGCAUAAGCGCACAGUGUCGCAUGGCACAGUGUGAAAACUAAGGUGGUAUAAGAUGGGCCCGCGUCUGAUUAGCUAGUUGGGAGGGUAACGGCCUGCCAAGGCAACGAUCAGUAGCCGGCCUGAGAGGGCGGACGGCCACAUUGGGACUGAGACACGGCCCAGACUCCUACGGAAGGCAGCAG